rnacentral:rRNA from 1 species
UACGUAGGGCGCAAGCGUUAUCCGGAAUUAUUGGGCGUAAAGAGCUCGUAGGCGGCUUGUCGCGUCGGUUGUGAAAGCCCGGGGCUUAACCCCGGGUCUGCAGUCGAUACGGGCAGGCUAGAGUUCGGUAGGGGAGAUCGGAAUUCCUGGUGUAGCGGUGAAAUGCGUAGAUAUCAGGAGGAACACCGGUGGCGAAGGCGGAUCUCUGGGCCGUAACUGACGCUGAGGAGCGAAAGCGUGGGGAGCGAACAGG